rnacentral:rRNA from 1 species
GACGAACGCUGGCGGCGUGCUUAACACAUGCAAGUCGAACGGAAAGGCCCUGCUUUUGUGGGGUGCUCGAGUGGCGAACGGGUGAGUAACACGUGAGUAACCUGCCCUUGACUUUGGGAUAACUUCAGGAAACUGGGGCUAAUACCGGAUAGGAGCUCCUGCUGCAUGGUGGGGGUUGGAAAGUUUCGGCGGUUGGGGAUGGACUCGCGGCUUAUCAGCUUGUUGGUGGGGUAGUGGCUUACCAAGGCUUUGACGGGUAGCCGGCCUGAGAGGGUGACCGGCCACAUUGGGAAUGAGAUACGGCCCAGACUCCUACGGGGGGCAGCAGGGGGGAAUAUUGCAAAAUGGGCGGAAGCCUGAUGCAGCAACGCCGGGGGCGGGAUGACGGCCUUGGGGUUGUAAACCGCUUUCGCCUGUGACGAAGCGUGAGUGACGGUAAUGGGGAAAGAAGCACCGGCUAACUACGU